GGAAAGGAUAAAGUGCCAGUGCCUUGCUGGAUGUCACUGGGAAGGGGUGCACACAGAGCUUAAGGGAAGGGGCUGUGAUAUGCUCCGACAUGUCAUAGGUGACAUGUGAUGUGGGCAAGGAGACAAGGGAGGGCAUGAAAAACAGCUGCAAAAAGUCUUGGGAGUCCUUGGAUAUUGUAAGAGAAUUCUCACCCGCAAAUUUUAAUAAAGUCCCCAGGAACAUGUUGUUUGAGGGUCUUGAAGGCAUCUCUCAGUUCCUUUGAACCUGGGUCACGACAGGAUCCUGCUUCAUAUUUGUCACUGAGACAGUAUCAAGAGUGCAGGUGUGUUCUACAGACCAAGAAACCUGAAAUAGAGGGACCUGAAAGCCACCUGUAGAGGCUGAUGCUGUCUAUAAUGCUCUAUUGGAUAGUAAACAGAUUAUAACUCCGCAAUUCCAACAAAGAAACACAAGCAGUAUGAGGGUACAGUCUGUAUCCGUUUGUCCUUUAUCACUAAUGAAAUCAAAUAAUGCAUAUGGGACCACAUGUUUGAAGAAUAAAUACACAAUUAAAUUCUUAACA
rnacentral:lncRNA from 1 species